rnacentral:tRNA from 1 species
UUUAUAGCUAAGCGGUUAUAGCAUACGCUUGAUAAGCGUAAGGUCGAAAGUUCAAAUCUUUCUAAAU